CAAUCACACCAGCCAGAUGAUAUUUUUCAGUUUGUCAUUACUUUAUCAAAGAAACACAGUCUUUGCUCUUUUGUAAAAACUUCUGCAUUCCCACAACCUUCAGGAUAAGAAAAAUGGAUUACGGGCCAGGCAAAAUUUGACCAUUAAGCGUCCUUCAAGGAAUCCACAAGAUGCUGCAAAGAGCAUAUCUUAAUGGUGUGAUGAGUCCUUAAACACUUUCUUCAGUUUCUUCUCUGACCUUUUCAGAUUGUGAUAAAUUCUGAUGGUUUAUAUAUAUUUUUUUACAAGGAGACAUUUCCAUCCGGAGAAAAAUAAGCAAGAAGGAAGAUAAUUGACUCGAAGAGGAAAUCUUUCAUCAAAACCUGCAAAUGUGUUGUGGCAAGGAUAACUCAGAUAAACUGACAUGCCACACAGAAGAGGUUAUAUGACAGCUUCCAAACGCAAAACAAAUGUCAAAAAUGGCUGAGCCAAAAUGUUAAAUUGACAAGGGAACGAUUUUGCUCUAUGCAUUUUAACCACGGGGAAAGCAAGUGCUUCAACAAUCACUGGUUGAUAACAUCAACUUAAACUAUUAAUUUUAAGCUACAAGAGUGGUAGGAGUUUCAACAGUUGAUGGCUAGGAAAUUUAUUACAAUUUUGCAGUGGGCAUGGAAGAUAUUGGGUAUAGGUGAAUCAGAGUAAUUUCAGGCUCAGGUUACUCUAAAAAUGCCUACCAUGUGACACUUAAUACAUCACGCCAAAUUCCUCUAACCCCGCACACAGAAACGAGCAUUGUUAACAGUCAGUGAAAAGUGAGCUUGCCUGGAUCCACAGAAAACUCAAAUCCUAUUCUAAGUCAGUGAUUCUUCUGAAGUGUGGUCCUUAGACCAGCAGUAGCAAUAUCAUCUGGGAACUUGUUAGAAGUUCCCAGAAUCACCUGGGAACUCAGGCUGCACCUGGGACUUUUCGAAUCAGAGAAUCUGGGGUGGGCGCAACAAUCACCUCCAGAUGAUUCUGGUGCGUGCUAGAGUUUGAGAACUACCAUCUUGGGAAUGUGAGAAGGAGCCAAACAGAAAGCAAGAAUACGAUUCAGCGUUUCCAACGGAGACUGUGUCUGGGUGGGAGGCCUGCCACAGCAUGGCUUGCCAAGCAGUGCCAUGUCCGCACCUGGGAUCCAAACCGGUGAAUCCCAGGCCGCCGAAGUGGAACGUGCAAACUUAAUCACUGCACCACUGGGCCAGCCCCAGUGUUAGAUUGUUUAUUUGAGAUUUUUCUUGUUUGCUGAGGACAACCAGUCAGAAAAUCAUCAAGAAUACAGAACUCAAGAACACCAUCAAAAGGAUCUAACCAACAUUUAUGGAAUAUUCCAUCCAACAGUAGAGGAAAGCACAUUCUUUCCAAGUGCCCACAGAAGAUACAUCAAGAGAGACCAUAUCCUGGGCCAUAAAACAAAUCAUAAAACUACUUAAAAGAAUUGAAAUCAUAUAUAGUGUGUCCACCAACUACAGUGUAAUUAAAUUCAAAAUCAAUCACAAAAAGAUAGAAAAUUUUUCUAAUAUGUACAGACUAAACAAUAUAUUUCCAUUCCUUGAGCUUAUGAAGAAAUCUCAGGGGAAAUAAAAAUACUUUGAACUAAAUGAAAAUGAAAAUAAAGCAUUUUGAAAUUUGUGGGGCACAACUAAAGUUUUACUGAGCACUAAAUGCAUACAUUAGAAAAGAGAAAACUCCCAAAUCAAGAGUCUUAGCUCCCACCUCAAGGACCUAGAAAAAGAAGAGCAAAAUAAAACUAAAGCAAGCAGAAGAAAGACUAUGAUAAAAAUAAGAGCAAAAAUCAAUGAAAUUGAAAACAGAGAAACCAUAGAGAAAAUCAAGAAAACAAAGAACUGGUUCUUAGAAAAGAUCAAUAAAAUUGACAAACCUCUAGAAGGACUGACAGGGAAAAAAAAUGAAGACACAAAAUCCAAUAUUGGGAGUGAAACAGGAGAUGUCACCAAAGACCCUGCAUACAUCAAAAGUUUAACAAAGGAAUGCUAUGAACAACAUUACACAUCUACAUACUUUAAUUUGACAAUCUAGAUGAAAUAGACUAAUUCCUCAAAAAUCACAAACUGCCACAAUUUACCCAAUAUGGAACGGAACGUUUGAAUAGCCCUAUGAUUAUUAUGAAAAUCGAAUUCAUUAUUUCAAAACUCACAAAAAAAGAAAAUAACAAAUGCAGAUGAUUUCAUUGGAGAACUUUACCAAAUGUUAAAAAAGAAUUAGUACUGAUUCUACACAAUCUUUUCUUGAAAAUAGAAGAGGAAACACUUCCUAAUGCAUUUUGUGAAGCUAGUGUUACCUCACUCCAGAACUACAUAAAGACAACACAAAGAAAGAAAAUCACAACAAAUAUUCCUUAUCAAUAUAGAUACAUGCCCAUCAAAAAAUGUUAACAAAUAGAAUUCAGCAACAUGUAAAAAGACUUAUACACUAUGAUCAAAUGGGAUUUAUUUCAGUCAUGCAAAUCUGGUGGAAUAUUAAAAAUCAGUCACUGUAAUUUGCCAUCAUAAGAUACUAUGGAACAAAAAUCAUGUGAAGAUGUCAAUUGACACAGAAAGAGCACUUGACAAAAGAUUCUCAAAAAAACCCCAAAAGAAACAGAGAAAAACUUCCUCAACUUGAUAAAGCACAUCUAAAAAAGCCCACAGUUAACACCGUACUUAAUUAUGAAUACUCAGUGGUUUUCCCCCAGGAUUGCGAAGAAGGCAAGGAUGUUCAUUCUCACCAUUCUUAUUCAGCAUGGUGCUGGAAAUUUUAGCUAGUGCAAUGAGGCAAGUAAUGGAAAGAAAAUCAUUCUGAUAGGAAAGGAAGAAACAAAACUAUCACCAUUUGCAGAUAACAUGGUUUUCUAUGUAGAAAAUACCAAGGAAUCAAUCAACAAACAAAAACUCCUAGAAUUAAUAAAUGACUUCAGGAAGAUCAUAGGAUUCAAGAUAAACAUGCAAAACCCCACUAUAUUUGUAUACACUAGCAAUAAACAGUAUACAAUGAAUUUAAAAAUACUAUGUCAUUCACAAUUACAAAAAGAAAUAUUUAGGUAUAUAAGGAACAAAAAUAUGUUCAAAACUUUAUGCUGAAAACUACACAAUGCUGAUGAAAGAAAUCAAAGAAGAUCAAAAUAAUUGAGGAGACAAACCAUCCUCAUGGAUUACAAGACUCAACAUAGUAAAGAUGUUAAUUCUCAAAUUUGUAUAUAGUUUUAAUGCAAUAACUAUCAAAAUCCUAGAAAGAUUUUUGUAGAUAAAGACAAAAUAUGUGCAAGAUCUCUACACUGAAAACCAUAAAACACUGCUGAGAACAAAUAAAGAAAACCUAAAUAAUGGAGAGACACGCUACGGUCUUGGAUGGAAGGCUUCAUCUUCUGUAGAUACCAAUUCUUCUCAGGUUGAUCUAUAGAUUCAACACAAUCCUCUUCUGCACUUCUAUCCUUGGCAUGAUCAGGGCAUUAAUGGUGAUUGUGGAUAUCUGUGUCUCAUUCCUGAUCUGAUAGAAAAUGUUCAUAAUAUUUCACCAUGAAGUAUGAUGUUUGAUGUAGACUUUAGUAAAUACAUUUAUCAGAUUGAAGACUUUCCCCUCUAUUCUAAGUUUUUAAAGAGUUCUUAUCAUAAAUGGAUGUAUACUGUUAUCAAAUGAUUUGUCUCUACUUAAUUGAGUAAUAAAAUUCUUUUUAUCCAUUAA
ensembl:lncRNA